rnacentral:rRNA from 1 species
AGAACGAACGCUGGCGGCAUGCCUAAUACAUGCAAGUCGAACGAACUCUUCGGAGUUAGUGGCGCACGGGUGCGUAACGCGUGGGAAUCUGCCCCUUGGUUCGGAAUAACAGUUGGAAACGACUGCUAAUACCGGAUGAUGACGAAAGUCCAAAGAUUUAUCGCCAAGGGAUGAGCCCGCGUAGGAUUAAGCUAGUUGGUGAGGUAAAGGCUCACCAAGGCAACGAUCCUUAGCUGGUCUGAGAGGAUGAUACAGCCAACACUGGG